AGAGCAUGAAUCAGCACAAGUUCUUUGUACUUGGAGUGAACAUGCAUAUUGACCCACGCUGUUCUCUUAUAAAAAGACCCAUUCUCCUCAGUUUGACAUCAGUCUCAUCUGGGACCAAGCCACUGACACAGACGUGAUCUCUCUUCACCGGGUAGACAUUAACUCUAAGCUGCCACUAUGGGUCGUAUGGAAGAUGUCAUUAAGAACAUGGUGGAUAUGUUCGUUGAGUAUGCAGAUGGUGAUGGCAAGUUAAGCAAGGAAGAACUGAAGAAGUUGAUGGAGACAGAAAUUUCAAACCCAGAGAUCAAAGCUAAAAUGAACUCAGCUAACAUGAGAAGAUCAUGGGGAGGCUGGAUAGGAACCGUGAUGGAGAGCUCAACUUCAGGAGUUUUGCAUGUGUGUGGGUUUCAUGGCCAAAUGCGCCUACCACAAGAAGACAGGCAAGGGUGACGAAAAUGAGUCCUAAACAGAAGAUGACUAGAAGUGUGGAAAAUUAUGGAAAACUGUGAUGCUUACAAACAACGUGCAAAUGUUUUUCUUUUCAAAGUAUGGACCAUGGAAUACUCAAUGAGAAUAAAUACAAACUUUGAAGUUA